rnacentral:rRNA from 1 species
CGAAUUCUCUUUGACUAGGGAUCCAAAGAGGGUGCUAGACCCUUACGCAUUGUUGACUUUUCGUACGCGUUCGUUUCUUGGAGUAGGGUUGUUUUGGAUCGCAGCCCAAAGUAGGUGGUAUACUUCAUCUAAAGCUAAAUACGACUACGAAUCCGAUAGCAAACAAGUACCGUGAGGGAAAGUUGCAAAGUACUUUGAAGAGAGAGUUCAAGAGGACGUGAAACCGGUAGGAUGGAAGCAGAUAAAGUUGACGAACGUGUGUCGUAUUCAGAUCUACAAUUUGUGGGUUGUUUUUACGAUCGAUGUGGGCUGGCGUCUUUGGUUAACUUAGUGUCUGGCGGCAAUGGUGACCCUGCGGAGGGAUAAUCGGUUGUCGUGCGAUGCUGGGUAUGGCUAGAGGUUCGCUGGUCUUAUAGUCAUCGCUUUAUCUGACCCGUCUUGAAACACGGACCAAGGAGUGUUGCGCUUACGCGAGUCUUAGAGUGUGUCAAAACUUUGAGGCGUAACGAAAGUAAAUGUGGAUUUAUUCACUGACUUGGGAUGCGUUGUCUUUUUUGGAUAGCGUUGGACCAUGGUUUUAUCGUAAUCGCUUGCGAUGCGGUGAAAAUAGAGCGUAAGCGGUGCGA